rnacentral:rRNA from 1 species
AACGAACGCUGGCGGCAGGCUUAACACAUGCAAGUCGAACGCGUGUAGCAAUACACGAGUGGCGCACGGGUGAGUAACACGUGGAUUAUCUGCCUCUUGGUUCGGAAUAACCCGGGAAACUGGGGCUAAUACCGAAUGGUUCCUACGGGAUAAAGAUUUAUCGCCAAGAGAUGAGUCCGCGUCCGAUUAGCUAGUUGGUGGGGUAACGGCCUACCAAGGCGACGAUCGGUAGCUGGUCUGAGAGGACGAUCAGCCACACUGGGACUGAGA